UACGGAGGAUCCAAGCGUUAUCCGGAAUCAUUGGGUUUAAAGGGUCCGUAGGCGGUUUGGUAAGUCAGUGGUGAAAGCCCAUCGCUCAACGGUGGAACGGCCAUUGAUACUGCCAGACUUGAAUUAUUAGGAAGUAACUAGAAUAUGUAGUGUAGCGGUGAAAUGCUUAGAGAUUACAUGGAAUACCAAUUGCGAAGCAGUUACUACUAAUGGAUUGACGCUGAUGGACGAAAGCGUGGGUAGCGAACAGG
rnacentral:rRNA from 1 species